rnacentral:rRNA from 1 species
UACAGAGGUGGCAAGCGUUGUUCGGAAUUACUGGGCGUAAAGGGCGCGUAGGUGGCCUUCUUAGUCAGACGUGAAAUCCCCGGGCUUAACUCGGGAACUGCGUCUGAUACUGGAAGGCUAGAGUUCGGGAGAGGAAUGUGGAAUUCCAGGUGUAGCGGUGAAAUGCGUAGAUAUCUGGAGGAACACCGGUGGCGAAGGCGGCAUUCUGGACCGAAACUGACGCUGAGGCGCGAAAGCCAGGGGAGCAAACGGG